GGAUGGGUGGCCAAGCGGUCUAAGGCGCUAGCUUCAGGUGCUAGUCUACUUCGUAGGCAUGGGUUCGAAUCCCAUCCCAUUCA
rfam:Verticillium longisporum isolate VL1 genome assembly, contig: scaffold_149